AUAAGUGUCUCCCUGGUCCAGAGAUUUUGUGAGAUUUUAGCUUAUCUAAUUACAUUGGCCAAGCCCCCUUCCUACGAGAAGGAAGACAAAAAGAGAACAUGUUAGUUCAGUUCUCCUCAUUCAUUGCGGUGAUCUGUUCAACAUUGCUUUUUGAGAAUCUUGUGACAUGACAAACCUUCAGGAUUUUGAAUGCCGAAGUCACUUGUAACAUGGAGAUCGAUAUUUGAUACCUUUUGAGAAGAAGUCUCUGCAGAACACUGAUUAUCCAGUUUAGCUGCAUUUUGGAUGCUCAGGUUUGCGUCUUUGUUUUUUUAUAAAAACUUCAUUUCAUCACUGUAGUACGAGAGAUCAAAUGACAUAAGACAACGUAGAGCACCCGUAAUAGAGUUAACCCCAUAGGUUGGAACCUGCUGACAGACGGAACACAAUAGUGCUUAACAAGUACAAAAACAAUACAAACAUACACAGAUGUGAACUCAAAAAAGCCGGAGUUGUUAUAGAACAAACCUUAGUAGCAACUUGAGUGCACGUGUUUCCAUGCUAACCUUUGCCUGUAUAGAGAUCACCAACAAACAGCAGUGGCAAUAUCAUCCUCAGUUGUGAAUAUCUCAUACCGUUUACCUUUGCCUGAAUGUUUCUCAGUUGAAAAUGUGAUUGACGUAUAGCACAGAUUUGAUAACAACACGUUUGUUCUUUGGUUUCAUAUGUAAUCUCUGUUUGGAGGGGGAACUUAUUGUUACAAUAUGCACUAGUUAUUUAUUUAUAUCCUUUGUGAGCACUUGAA